rnacentral:tRNA from 1 species
GGAGAGAUGGCAGAGUGGCCGAAUGCACCGGUCUUGAAAACCGGCGUGGGGUAACUCACCGGGAGUUCGAAUCUCCCUCUCUCCG